UCUCUUUUGGCAGAGGUGAGGAAAGGUGAGGUGUCCGUGACCUGCUGCUCUUGCCAGCAGAUUUCAUUCGCACAAGACUGAGAUGAAAUGAUAAAGGGCACCCCUGGCCCCAGCAGCAGGGAACUUCUGCCACUCUGGGGCAGCCCAGGCUGGCCUCAGGUCCACCCAUGAGCAAGAGAAAAAGAGUUCCUCAUUCAGCACUUAAUGAGAGAAGCACUGAAACCUGUGCUGCUUGUACUAGGUGUGCCAAGGAGGUGGAAAAAGCAUCCCGGCCCUGGCAGGAGGCUUCGCUGGCUGAAUCAUCAACUCCUUGAACAGGUGAGAGAUGGCUCAAUGACUGAACUGCAGCUUCCCAAAGUCCAGGUUAAAAAAGCCUGUCACCAUGAUAUUUUCUGAAAAAUCCCUUCACCAGGAUUUUUUUCUCCUGAGAAGCUAAGAAGCCUCAGAAAAGAAAUAUUGUUUAAUGAAUCCUUGAAAACUCUUAAUCUUCAGAUUCAGUCUCCUGACAAUGAAUUCUGGAACAGUGACUUAGGAAAGGCAAUAAAGCAUUAAGUAAGCUGUAGUACCCAAAAAGUGAUUAUUGCCAUGCUUUCAUAUGAACUCACUUGAAUGAUGUGCUUGCUGAAACUCAAGGCUCCAGUCAAGAAUGAAAAUCUGAUCUGAUCUGUCUGCACAAAAGUACUCUGGCACAGUCUGCUUGGAGAGAUCCAGGAUUGAAAGUUUGACCUAAGCUUAUUUAUCAACUCCAGACUUACUGUGAAAUUCCAGCAGCUUGGUGAGUCUCCCAAGGCAAAGUUUGUGUGACAGAUACUGACCUUACCCUGAAGUCUGAAGAGAAUAUGGAGUCACACUGGAAGAGCUCAAAGAAAAUAGGAAAUUUAGGAUGCAAAG